rnacentral:rRNA from 1 species
GUUAUAUGGUCAAGUGAAGAAGCGCAUACGGUGGAUGCCUUGGCAGUCAGAGGCGAUGAAAGACGUGGUAGCCUGCGAAAAGCUUCGGGGAGUCGGCAAACAGACUUUGAUCCGGAGAUCUCUGAAUGGGGGAACCCACCUAGGAUAACCUAGGUAUCUUGUACUGAAUCCAUAGGUGCAAGAGGCGAACCAGGGGAACUGAAACAUCUAAGUACCCUGAGGAAAAGAAAUCAACCGAGAUUCCCUUAGUAGUGGCGAGCGAACGGGGAUUAGCCCUUAAGCUUCAUUGAUUUUAGCGGAACGCUCUGGAAAGUGCGGCCAUAGUGGGUGAUAGCCCCGUACGCGAAAGGAUCUUUGAAGUGAAAUCGAGUAGGACGGAGCACGAGAAACUUUGUCUGAACAUGGGGGGACCAUCCUCCAAGGCUAAAUACUACUGACUGACCGAUAGUGAACCAGUACCGUGAGGGAAAGGCGAAAAGAACCCCGGAGAGGGGAGUGAAAUAGAACCUGAAACCGUAUGCGUACAAGCAGUGGGAGCCUACUUGUUAGGUGACUGCGUACCUUUUGUAUAAUGGGUCAGCGACUUAUAUUCAGUGGCAAGCUUAACCGUAUAGGGUAGGCGUAGCGAAAGCGAGUCUUAAUAGGGCGUUUAGUCGCUGGGUAUAGACCCGAAACCGGGCGAUCUAUCCAUGAGCAGGUUGAAGGUUAGGUAACACUGACUGGAGGACCGAACCCACUCCCGUUGAAAAGGUAGGGGAUGACUUGUGGAUCGGAGUGAAAGGCUAAUCAAGCUCGGAGAUAGCUGGUUCUCCUCGAAAGCUAUUUAGGUAGCGCCUCAUGUAUCACUCUGGGGGGUAGAGCACUGUUUCGGCUAGGGGGUCAUCCCGACUUACCAAACCGAUGCAAACUCCGAAUACCCAGAAGUGCCGAGCAUGGGAGACACACGGCGGGUGCUAACGUCCGUCGUGAAAAGGGAAACAACCCAGACCGCCAGCUAAGGUCCCAAAGUUGUGGUUAAGUGGUAAACGAUGUGGGAAGGCUUAGACAGCUAGGAGGUUGGCUUAGAAGCAGCCAUCCUUUAAAGAAAGCGUAAUAGCUCACUAGUCGAGUCGGCCUGCGCGGAAGAUGUAACGGGGCUCAAACCACACACCGAAGCUGCGGGUGUCACGUAAGUGACGCGGUAGAGGAGCGUUCUGUAAGCCUGUGAAGGUGAGUUGAGAAGCUUGCUGGAGGUAUCAGAAGUGCGAAUGCUGACAUGAGUAACGACAAUGGGUGUGAAAAACACCCACGCCGAAAGACCAAGGGUUCCUGCGCAACGUUAAUCGACGCAGGGUUAGUCGGUUCCUAAGGCGAGGCUGAAAAGCGUAGUCGAUGGGAAACAGGUUAAUAUUCCUGUACUUCUGGUUACUGCGAUGGAGGGACGGAGAAGGCUAGGCCAGCUUGGCGUUGGUUGUCCAAGUUUAAGGUGGUAGGCUGAAAUCUUAGGUAAAUCCGGGGUUUCAAGGCCGAGAGCUGAUGACGAGUCGUCUUUUAGAUGACGAAGUGGUUGAUGCCAUGCUUCCAAGAAAAGCUUCUAAGCUUCAGGUAACCAGGAACCGUACCCCAAACCGACACAGGUGGUCGGGUAGAGAAUACCAAGGCGCUUGAGAGAACUCGGGUGAAGGAACUAGGCAAAAUGGCACCGUAACUUCGGGAGAAGGUGCGCCGGCUAGGGUGAAGGAUUUACUCCGUAAGCUCUGGCUGGUCGAAGAUACCAGGCCGCUGCGACUGUUUAUUAAAAACACAGCACUCUGCAAACACGAAAGUGGACGUAUAGGGUGUGACGCCUGCCCGGUGCCGGAAGGUUAAUUGAUGGGGUUAGCGCAAGCGAAGCUCUUGAUCGAAGCCCCGGUAAACGGCGGCCGUAACUAUAACGGUCCUAAGGUAGCGAAAUUCCUUGUCGGGUAAGUUCCGACCUGCACGAAUGGCGUARCGAUGGCGGCGCUGUCUCCACCCGAGACUCAGUGAAAUUGAAAUCGCUGUGAAGAUGCAGUGUAUCCGCGGCUAGACGGAAAGACCCCGUGAACCUUUACUGUAGCUUUGCACUGGACUUUGAGCCUGCUUGUGUAGGAUAGGUGGGAGGCUUUGAAGCGUGGACGCCAGUUCGCGUGGAGCCAUCCUUGAAAUACCACCCUGGCAUGCUUGAGGUUCUAACUCUGGUCCGUGAUCCGGAUCGAGGACAGUGUAUGGUGGGCAGUUUGACUGGGGCGGUCUCCUCCUAAAGAGUAACGGAGGAGUACGAAGGUGCGCUCAGACCGGUCGGAAAUCGGUCGCAGAGUAUAAAGGCAAAAGCGCGCUWGACUGCGAGACAGACACGUCGAGCAGGUACGAAAGUAGGUCUUAGUGAUCCGGUGGUUCUGUAUGGAAGGGCCAUCGCUCAACGGAUAAAAGGUACUCCGGGGAUAACAGGCUGAUACCGCCCAAGAGUUCAUAUCGACGGCGGUGUUUGGCACCUCGAUGUCGGCUCAUCACAUCCUGGGGCUGAAGCCGGUCCCAAGGGUAUGGCUGUUCGCCAUUUAAAGUGGUACGCGAGCUGGGUUUAGAACGUCGUGAGACAGUUCGGUCCCUAUCUGSCGUGGACGUUUGAGAUUUGAGAGGGGCUGCUCCUAGUACGAGAGGACCGGAGUGGACGAACCUCUGGUGUUCCGGUUGUCACGCCAGUGGCAUUGCCGGGUAGCUAUGUUCGGAAAAGAUAACCGCUGAAAGCAUCUAAGCGGGAAACUUGCCUCAAGAUGAGAUCUCACUGGGAACUUGAUUCCCCUGAAGGGCCGUCGAAGACUACGACGUUGAUAGGCUGGGUGUGUAAGCGUUGUGAGGCGUUGAGCUAACCAGUACUAAUUGCCCGUGAGGCUUGACCAUAUAACACCCAAACA